GGUUAGCUCGGGUUGGAGGCCGUCAGAGGUAUUAUCACACUGUCGAGUUAACGCUAUCAGCGUAAGUAAACUCAAGUGAUUCUAGUCUAUGGCAUGUAUAGGGUUUUAAUGUGAGUAUGUAAUAUUAUGAUUUAGCCAAAGGCAUUGGCUUGUUAUUAAGGUAGUAUUAGUCAUGUAAAUUGGCCUAUGUCGGCUAAUAUCGUUAUGGGCCCAUAUGAUUAUUCUUAUGCAUGUAUGUUAUUAUCUCUUGUGAUGUGGCUUACAACAUGUAUGCCUAGAGAUUGAAUUGAGAUUCAUUGAUGAGCUAAUAACUAAUGCAGGAUUAAGUGAUUGGCAAAUAGUUAAUAA